GGUCCCUUCGUCUAGCGGUUAGGACGUAGCCCUCUCACGGCUAAAACAGGGGUUCGAUUCCCCUAGGGACUACCA
rnacentral:tRNA from 1 species